UACGGGGGGGGCAAGCGUGUUCGGAAUUACUGGGCGUAAAGGGCUCGUAGGCGGCCAACUAAGUCAGACGUGAAAUCCCCUCGGCUUAACCGGGGAACUGCGUCUGAUACUGGAUGGCUUGAGAUUGGGAGAGGGAUGCGGAAUUCCAGGUGUAGCGGUGAAAUGCGUAGAUAUCGGAGAACACCGGUGGCGAAGGCGGCAUCCUGGACCGACACUGACGCUGAGGAGCGAAAGCCAGGGAGCA
rnacentral:rRNA from 1 species